CGUCAUAAAGGCUCUUUGACGUCACGCGUUACCUAGUACCACAAAAAAGACAGGCUAUUCAUGGAGCUAGGAGAAAAGCAGCCUAAUUUCCUGGGAAAAGCAAAGCUGAAUUCUGCUCCCUGAUUGGACGCACUGCUGGUUUUUCACAUGAGAGUCACGCAUAAACAUACUCACACGCACCUACAGAAUGUACACAGUAUGCCCAUGCAACCUCAGCUCUCUCCCUUUCUUAGAAACCGGUCUCAGAUGAAGAAAUUUUGACAUUGCCGAGUGCUACAACUUAAUGUGGAGUUCAGAGGCGGGUUUGCACAACCAACAGAUGUUCUUUGAUGUCAGCUGCAGUGAGGGGGAGGCGAAAAAAUGGGAACGCUAAAAAGAAGUAGGAGGAAGGUGUCAGAACUUUAAUCACCAUGCAGCACUCAGAAAGAGAUCUAUUGUAUCUCUUAGCACAAACACUGGAUUACAAAGCUGACAGUGACCUGUUACACUGGCCUUAUCUUCUCUUUAAAUAGGCUUUGAGUCACAGUUACAACGCCAGCUCGCUGAUCCAGAGAAGCUAAAUUACACAGGCUGUCAUCCAAACCAACGUACAGCUCCAUUCGGGUGCGCAAUAAAUUAUGUAAAAGAGCCUAACAGCAAGAAAAUGACCGUGCCAUUUGCUGUCACUUCAGACAAUUUGUAUUAUGACAUUUCACGAACGCUUGGCCAAUUACAUUAGAUCUAUUGCACAAACCAAAUAAUAGUUUCUCUAGUUUCUCCACUCCAGCUAUGUGAUUUAGUUAUUCAUUAAACCACCCACAUUACAAGUGCAAAAUACAGCUCAGGACAUGUACUCCAUGAACAGCUCAUUUAGUUUAGUGUGUGUGUGUCAGCACUGUGUAUAAGUUUUACACCCGCAUGCCUACAAAACCAGUAUUAUUUUCCAAAACAACAUGUUUGCAUAACAUGUCACAAUUUAAUUCCACUGCAGUUAGUCCAGCAGAUGCUAUUGAUGGUGUAAAAGAGUUUGUUAAAAGCAAAAACUGCUAUCAUAUUACAACAAAUAUAUCUACUAUCUAUAUAAUAUCUAUAUUACGUUUACAGAUACAUGUUUAUCUAUUGAGUGCAUCUUACAUUUUUAAUACUAUUUUAAAACGAACCAUUUAGAAUUUGUAUUAAUAUAUUUAAAAUAAAUUUCCACAACUUUAAUUAAGAUACAAGCCUUAUCGACCACCUCUACCUAUUGUAGGAUUGAACAAAGAACAUGUCUUUUGAGAUGCUAUUCUAGACAUUUUCCACUACUACUACCGUAGUAUGUACAAUGUAUUAUCAUGCCUUUCAGUUUAGCCUAAGAUCAUAAUGGUAUAUUGAUUUGUUUGGAUAAAAGAUGCACGCUUUGUAAUGUUCCUCUAGUUGAGGCUUGUUUCCAAUACUAACGGAUGUCUCAACAAUUUUGAUUGCAAUCUCGGUUACAGUUUAAUCAGAGCUGUAACGUGGAAAUGGCCUCUGAAGAUCAAACAACUAUCCCUUUCCCCUGUGUCACAAGGAAAGAGGAAGAAAUGACAUGCUGAGACAUCGGUCUAGUCAAAAAAAACUCAGAGGUGUCAAGAGAGCAGCUCGAUUUGUGGAUGGAAUUGGAAGUUAGAGUGUGAAGGGGGCAGAGAAGGAAAAAAGGAAGGGUGUGAAGUAAAAGAAAGAGACGGUUGACUCAAAUCAGACAGCAGCGGAGGCCAAGCCCAGUCAUAUGGCUCGAGGUUUUUUGGACCUGCUGUGUUUGGAGAGGAAAGCACAUCAUCAUCUGCUGCAUUCCAUCCACACACAUGUCUCAAAUCAGCACUGGACACCAGCGCAGAGUUUAAACCAGCUAAUAUGUUAGCCAGUUUUGUACUUUCUGAAGUUAGGAGAAGAAGGUAAACUGGGGAGGAGAAUAAAUGGCUUGUAAAAAGACAAACUUAUACCCCAAAUCCACCGACAGAGUUCUUGUGUCCAAUCUGGCCCCAUUACACGCAUUUUCUACCAAAAAGAAGGGUGUUCUGGGCUUAU